AAGCUAUUUCUACCCAUGUCGGCAUAUUCAUUAUACAUAUAUAUAUAUAAUUAUUAUUCUCUCUCUACAUAUAUAUGUAUCACUACCACUCUGAUCGACGAUAUGUUACUAUCACGCUCAUCCAACGUAUAUGUACAUAUCAUGUAUCGUUCGUCUAUCGUGAGACCAUUGUACACACGCAUCUCGCGGUGCAGAGAUGCGGGUGCACACGCAUAUUACGAAACGGGAUCGACAUUGUUCUAUAUUCUCUCUUUCACAUAUCUUAUUCUUCUACUUUUCUUUUUCUUUUUGUUUGAUUUUCUCUUUCUUAAAAUCGCUGCCCACUGUUGUGACGUAGUUUGCUUGCAAGGUAGAGAGUUAUUAUUGCGCUGCCAGUGGCUUCACAGUUCUCUUGCCCCGUGUCAUUUCAUGCUUCAGUCCCCCUCGCCGCCGCCGCCACCCUUGUUCCACCCAUUUGCGUAUGAUACUUCACGCCGCGCCGUUAUGCCAUCACGCGCCACCCCGCCAGAAAGGGAAAACGAACGAUUUCCCAGGGAAAAACGAGUUGUCGUCAAAAGCAAACGUUUCCCCUUGCUGUAUACAGUAGGAGGCUGAGCACACGGAUGUCCCGUCUAGACACGAGCAUUUUUGCGACCGACGUGACAGAAUUCCUUUUCAUGGACGAGUAAUCUGUGUAAUCGUUAGUUACAAUGGUUAUAACAUGUUACAACGACACGGUCGCGAAAAUGCGACGAGUGGUCGAGCCUCGCGUAUCACCGGCUCGAUUACGCACCAACCUCGCACGAAAAUGAUCUUUUUACCCUCAUGUAUUCGCAAGAGAAAGCCGGACGAAACGUGUAUCAGGUACGGUAUAUCGAAUUGAAGCAAGCUGACACGGGCUGCGAUCAGAGUGCACACGUAUCAUCGGAUCGCCGUGAGAUACCUCGCGUUUCUUCAUUCCACCUAGGAAUUAUACAAUUUUAUUUAUCGUCUUGAACUUCGGCGCUUCCCGCUGCUUCUCGUCGCCUCAACAAAAGAAAAGAAGGACAAUCGAUCGAGAUUUUUUACGGCCCAUGACGCUUACGGUUUCGAAUACAAUCACGUUCAAACACGAACAGCACACGUUCCAGAGGUAUACAUACACACGAACAUGGCCCAAUGUAUUAGGCACGCGUAUCGUCGUGUUCACCAGCACGCAAAAAAGAGCACACGUGUACCUUCACUUUCACGCUUGCACAGCACCAACGUGCUCGCGGACGCUCGUGUCCCGUGUACGCGUCCUUGUUCCGAUCUGUAGUACAAAACGUCCAAAAGCUCCGAUUAAUCGAAUAGAAAAAUCGCGAAAACAUUAAUUUCGAUUAAACAAUAACGAACAGCCUGUAUGCUCCAGAUAUUAAAAUAACAUUAAAAUAACAUUACUAUACUCUUUAUUAUAUUACUUGUUGCUAUAGUCGUAAAGUAAAUUUACUUAUAUUAUAUUUCUCUCUAGCUAAAGCAACUUUAUGUAUCGCGUCCUAUAUUUCUCACAUUUAAAAAAAAAGCUCCAUUCUUCCAACGAAGCCCUCGUUUUUAACAAUAUACGAAGGGAUGAAAGGGGUAAAACGUUGCGUUAAAAAUAGAGUGAAACCUUAUUUGUUGUUUCAAAUUUCCUUUUAAGGGGAGAAAGAUACAGGUACGGAUCGUCGAUUCUCAGCGUCUUGGAAACGAGCUUUUGGACGGUUUCCUAGCAGUGGUCAGAGCAACGCUUAUUCUAGCAGCAUUCUAUAUACUGUCGCUAUUUCGUUACCACCGUAGCAAAUGUUUGUAUCGUUACUGUCGUUACUAUUCCACGAGCACCGCCGCCAUCAUGUUCUUUCGCAUAUCUCACGUUAUUUCGUCGUAGUCGUUCCCAAAACGUCGUUCGCGUGUAGUUAGCACUACAUACCCAGUCUGUAGCCUAAUCUCGGAUGCGAAGUCGCCGCGGAGAUCUGAACAAGCUUCACCGAAUAACUCCUUCUGUCAGGCAGGAGAACGUAAUAAGAAAAUCUUUUUAUCGCGAAUGACUUGGUUUCCUAGGAUUUUUCAAUACGUUAGAGAGAAAAGAGUUCCACUGAAGGUAUUUGUCGAACAUAAAAAAAGAGUGCAAGUUAAUAAAGCGUGUUAUAUUUGAAGCAAAAGUGAGUAGAACAGGUGAAUAACGGUCAAGCAAGGGAUGCAGUAAAAUAUCCCAUUAGUAUUCAUCCUUAGCGGAACAGUAGAAUAGUUCCUCGAGAGUCAGACAUGCUUAACUCGCAACACAAGAGGACGCGUUAAGCGUAACAAAUUCAAGCACAGAAAGUAGUUCAAGCACGCGUACCUGCACACAAUAACGAGAAGCUGGAAACGGAGCUUGGAAAACGCAACGCGAUUUCCAUAACGGAGAGAAUAUUCAAAAUACGUUUCUCUUGCAGAACGAGAGGAAAUAAUAAUUGGAAAUUCACGGCGACGUCGCAUCCGUUCGAACAUUCUCCGAUAAUCCUGCAUCUCCGUGUAUGUGCCUGCGUUUUAGAUCUAGGAUUUAGGUGAAGUCUACGUGGCUUGAGUGGUAAUUUACAGAUAUUUAGCGAGAGGGGAAUUCACGCGAAAAUAAGCAGAGAACUCAUUUAAGCAUUCUCAAAGAAUCAUUUAUGAUACCGGUCGGACAGAGCAUCGAUAAAUCAAAAGAAAUACAUUUUAACCCGACGUGUUAUCAUCACAUCUUUCUCUUAUUCUUUCUUUCUCUCUUUUUUCUUGCACCGGAAGGAUGCACCCUCCGUAGUGCAGCCUUCCAUCAUCGUGUUCGAUCAUCUAGGUCGGGCACCGAGAGUGAGAUGUCGAAACGAACAAUGCACCAGCACCAAGACCUAUCUCGUCACCGACAUUUUUCUUGUGCCGUACGAUUUAGUAGCACCUUCUUACGAGUCCGAUUUGUUCACCCACGAUCUAAGAUCCCAUCGAUCCCGUUCAUGACUGACAUACUUCAUCCCAGAAGAAACGAAUGGAAGAAAGGAUGCUUAUGCAUCUUCGGAUGCACAUUGGACUCAAUACGUGACGUUGCAUCAUGGUGAUGCUGUACGUGGCGCAAUUUUGUUAUAACAACGGUUAUUGCUAAGAUUGCAAACGAGAAUCGAAUAGAUUCUGGCAGAUUUUGGUUUUAUGGAAGAGGGGAUUUUAUUUUCAGCUUUCUUUCGCUCGUGGAUUUUGUUGGGCGAAGAAAUCGAUCGAUUCGUCCGGAUGGUUUAUUUUCGUUCAAACGAAGAGAACGCUGCGCACUUAAUUGGAACAUUAUUUACUUUGCACACUGGCAAACGACGAUUAACAGAGCUACGAUGAUAAUUGUUUCCAGGAUUAAAAUCGUGUUAGAGACAAACGUAUUUUUUUAGUAGCGCGUGCUUCUUUCUCGUUUACGGUCGAUAGGGUUUUGUUGGUUUUCGAUUUAGUUAGUUCCUUUCACGGAACCUCUCGAGCUUAAUCAAAGACGAAACGCAAGAAGUCGAGGGCAUAGCGUUAAGCUAUUUAUCGAGGAAGCGAAACGUGUCAGAAAGCCAAUGAAGUAUGUCAAGCCGUGGCUAACAUCCUUGACAAAGCAUGCGACAGGAAUCAGUCUCCCAGAAACGAGAUAUUCAAGAGUAUAGACUCUCUCCCUUCUCCAUCGUCGUUCUCUUACUCCCUGCCCUCUGGUACUCUGUUUCUUUAUUCUCUGUCUGUCUUUUUCUCUUGUUCUGCCUUUCUCUUUGCACCCUGCGGAUCGAACGACGACUGUACGAGACGUCGACGACAAAGACUUUGGCAAAAAAAAUAUAGACGGUUGAUCGGGGAAAGUACAGAGAAAUAGGAAGAAAAAGAAACAAAGAACUGAACGAAUGCAAUGAUAAAUCAUACAAAAAUUUAAAAAUAUGUUUAUAUAUAUAUGUGUGUGUAUAUAUAUAUACACAUAUAAAUGAAAGAACAAAAUGUGCUGCGAUUAAAAUGCGUGGAAUGAGCUGCUUUGGAUGUGUAGGUGAUAAAACGUUUAGCAACCCCUAACGGGGGGAAAUUCACGCCCGCAUCCGCCCCUUCGUCACUUACCCCGUUCUAACAAUAACAACUACUAUUACAACAACUACCACAUUAUCGACCAAUCAACUGUCAUAACUACCGCCGUGAGAAAAAUACUGAAUCAUCAUCAUUAUCUUCAUCAUCGACAACACCAUCAACACCUUCGAUCAUUACCAUCAACCGGUCAUUAAAGUCUCCUCUGAAAUUAGUGGCCAAAGACAUGCACGUGACCUCUUUCCCAGAUCCAGGCCCUGCCAGAGAAGACCGAACAGGUACACUGAUGACACGAUUAAGUCUCGAUAAGAAUUAAUCUCGAAUCGACAGGGAACGAAGCGUACACUCUGAAAUCACUACCCACCCGAUGAACCCUCUCGAGCAACCUCCAUUGAGUAGCACGUAAAUCGGGUCGAUUCGUUUUUCACGAAACGAGAGCGGACCGUUGAUGUUUCUUUGCUAACUUGCUAACUGUGUUUCUUUACGUCGGCCCAGUGAACAGGAAUUUCGCGCAAUUGGAACUGGUCGAGAACGAGGAUAAGUCGGGUGCCUGGAAAUAGAUCGCGUUCGACGAAGCACAAUGCGAAAAUAACUGGGAAUCAACGUGGAACCGGAGGUUGUAAUUAGAAAGGGAUGGUAAUUUUUUAUUUUCACGGUGUACGAAGUAGUAUUAAAUGGAAAAAUUGAUUAAAUUAAAUAAUUUCGCUAUAUUUUAAAAUAACGGCUGGAUAGGAUAGUUCCUGUAGAUUAAUUAUAAAAGAAAAGUUGAACGAAAUUGUCUCGCUUUUAUCAGAAAGGUAUAAAAUCUGUGUAAAAUAUUGUUUUACAUUUCUCGAACUAAACUCUAGGGAAUCGAAUGAAAACUCUCGACGAGUUUCUUUGCGUGAAAUCUGUAACUUCCACGUCAAAACGCCUUCGACAAAAAAAUAGCGACUUACACGUAUAUAUUACAUGCGCGUCUCAACUUUUGUGUGUAUACACCUGCUGGAGAUCGUGCCUUCGGAAAAGCCACGGUACGUAUGCCACACAAUCCGCGAAAUUCGAGUCAAAAGUCACGCCAAUCCCUGCUAGUCUCGUUUGCUUAUUUUCCUGUUCGAUAUUUGCCUCGUGCGGUUUUCAUAUCGUGAAACAGUUCGGAAUAAAAAUCGAUCGAUGAUCGGAAAAUAUUUGUUUCAUACGUGACCAAUCUUUUUCAGUUUUGUCCCAAAUUAUUUUAUAGAUUUUUCGCGACAAAUGAAAUUUAUGAUUAAACCGCUAAGUCUGCGAUAUUUUUCACCAGUAGUUUCACAGUUGGAAACAUUUUUAAUCAAAUCGCUAUUUUCGUAUGGUCGCGAGUUUCCAGUGAGAUAGAAGAUAUUGUAUUAAAAUCGUCGAUGGACAUCUCGAUUCUAUCUGUGACAUGGUUCGAUUGAUAUCAAUUACAAAAAAAAAAAGAAAAAAAAAGUAUUCGUGGAAAGAAUAUCAGGAAAAUAUGCAGUAUGGAAGACCGUGUACAUAGUCGGCUCUGUGUCAAUCACAAUAUCGCAACACCUUGCAACGAGACCAAACGAAUCCAUAUUUGACACCAUCAACAAACACCAUACAUGAAACUGCUUAAGUUGGAUCGAAUACGGUUGACGAUGCACCUGGAAAUUAAUGCACAUUCACUGCUUUCAACGUGUGCACUAUUCGGACAAGACAAAGAGAUUCUCGGUGUAAGGCACAAACAGAAUCACGGAUAUUAAAAAAAAAAAAAACGAAAAUUAGAAAAUGGAUAGGAAAGAGAAUAAAAAUGCUCCGUGCAAGAGCCAUGGCUGCAAUAUUUUUCUCGUCUUUCGAUUAAAGUCUAGAGACUGAAAAAUUGAAUAAAGUUAUGCAUACGAGAGAGAGGUGAAUCGUCGCAUUGAUAGCCUCGAACGGAGCGAACGUUUAUUCCAAACGGCACUCGACUCGAUUUUGACGAUCUGAAGCUCUGGAAGACAAGGGAUAGCAUCGAGCCGUGCGAGACUUUUGAUUCGUCCCGUAAGAGAAACAUUUUCAUACGAUCAUUUUCUUUGAUAUGUGCUACUGUUCAUUCUCACGUCACGUGUGCACCGGUUAAAAUGAUCAUCGGUAGAACCUAGAAAGUUUUGUGAUUUAUUUGCUUCGUGGCUAACGAAAUAUCCAACGAAAUAUCUGUCAAAUUCUUCGAUAUUUGAAAUUUGAAAUUUUUAAUUUUGCUAUAACAUCGUUCCAACAUAGUUUUCAAGUACCAUAAAAUCGCAUUGUACAUUUUUCGCGAUAACGAGUUUGGUUUCGACAGCAUGACACGAUAUUGUCAGAGGGGCAAUAUUUUACAAAAUAUUUCACGUUCUACCAUCGAGUAACUCAUCUCGUGUAUGUACACUCACAUUAUACACACGCGAAUGAAUGGCUACACUAUAUAUAUAUAUUACAUUUUAAUACGAUUACGGAAUGUUUUUCCUCCUUACACGACAUUCACGUACUUUCUCUCUAAAAGGAAUAAAAAACUCACCACGUUUUUCUUUCUCUGUACAUCUACAAGAUACAUAUACCACUAUUAUAUAUUUUUCCUCUUAAUUUCUUGAUCUGGUCAUCUCCGCUGUGACUCACUGUAUGUUUUUACCACCCAGUUAUAUAUUAUAUACUCUCUUCUCGUUCUUGUACAUCUCAGACACGUUCUUGCUCAUCACGACUAACCGCUAUCAUGGCCAUUCGUCGUAAUCGAUGCACGAGCAGCGGGACGGUCCGAAAGUCGUCAAGUCGCGUCAAGGCGAGCCGAUCCCAGGCCCAAGGGAGGACUUUGCGACUGUUUGGCACCGACCUGAUGCGACAUGCGAUAAUACGACUUCAUUCUCCUCGCGUAAUCUACUGUCUUAUCCUCUACCGUUUAUAUCUCUUGUGUUUUGUCCAUUGUGAGUGGUUGCAAGCCGAAUUUCUUACUCUACCAUCAUUUUCUAAUAGCCACGUUUCGACGAGAUUAUUCGAACGUUUAACAUCGAUGUACGACGAUUAAUUAAUUAUUUAAUAAAAAUAAUACGCGAAAGAAUUACGCGAUUGGUAGAAGAACGAGUACGCUGUUUAAAAAUAAAUCUCACCGAUUGUUCAACGAGGUAAAUACGAAUCUGUUUGCAAUCACUCGAGGGAUUCAUCGUACAUACAGGCCACAUACUCGCCGAAAUGCGUAUCCACGAAUCGCGAUCAUCUCCAACACGCUCACACCAUCAUCGAUCCAAAAAGACGCGAAACCUUCCAGCACUUUUCUUUCGGCACUACUUAGCUUCACAGUGCUCUUGCGCAGAGAUCGAAUUCACCGUUGUCUGAUCGCACCUGAACGUGUCGUUAGCAUCCAUCAAUACGAGUCGUGGAUACGCAUUGCUCGUACUCAUCUUGUCCAUGCGACGUGGCCGCGUUUCGAAAGUAUCCUCUGAUCGACAAAGCUCGCGCCGCGAUCGUUGCAUUGGUUAGUUUAAUGUACGCGAUUAGGAUGCCUCGGGAUUAAACGAUCGGCGAACAAUAACUGAGAGGAUAGGAGGCAAAGAACGAAAGGGAAAGAGAGUCGUCGAAACGCCGCGCGCAGAAAUAUGGACAACGAUGUCGGCCGUACGUCGCGGUGGGCGAAAGAACUGCGGCGGCGCCCGGCGUUCGCAAGAGGAUCUUUCUAUCGUGGAAAGAACAAGAGAAUUCAAAAAUUCGCAUCCAAUCGAAAGAUCGAAGGCUCGGAGAUGAGAAAAGACAAUCGAAAAAAGUAACAAAAAAAAAAAAAAAAUAAAGAAUUGGAAAA